UGAAUACGAGAUGCUACGGCGUCGAAGCAGUCUAUGUCAUACUUCCAAGAAAAGCUCGCACUGUCAUAAACAAAUAAUGCCUGUACCAUAACCGACACAGGUGGGUAGGUAGAGUAUACUAAGGGGCGCGAGAUAACUCUCUCUAAGGAACUCGGCAAAAUGACUCCGUAACUUCGGGAGAAGGAGUGCCUUAUUUAUAAGGUUGCAAUAACAAGAUCCAAGCAACUGUUUAUCAAAAACACAGGUCUCCGCUAAGUCGUAGGACGAUGUAUGGGGGCUGACGCCUGCCCAGUGCCAGAAGGUUAAAGAAGUUGGUUAGCAUUCGCGAAGCUGAUAACUGAAGCCCUGGUGAACGGCGGCCGUAACAAUAACGGUCCUAAGGUAGCGAAAUUCCUUGUCGGGUAAGUUCCGACCCGCACGAAAGGCGUAAUGAUUUGGAUACUGUCUCGGAGAGGGGCUCGGUGAAAUAGACUUGUCUGUGAAGAUGCGGACUACCUGCACCAGGACAGAAAGACCCUAUGAAGCUUUACUGUAACUUGAGAUUGAAAUUGGACUUUACUUGCGCAGUAUAGGUGGGAGGCGUUGAUAAUAUUCUUGCGGGAUUAUUUGAGCCAUCAGUGAGAUACCACUCUUGUAAUGUUAGAUUUCUAACUUUGUAUCAUUAUCUGGUCAAAGGACAGUUUCAGGCGGGCAGUUUGACUGGGGCGGUCGCCUCCUAAACGGUAACGGAGGCGCACAAAGGUUUCCUCUGAACGGGUAGAAAUCGUAUCUAGAGUGUAAAGGCAUAAGGAAGCUUGACUGUGAGACCUACAAGUCGAGCAGGGACGAAAGUCGGUCUUAGUGAUCUGACGGUGCUGAGUGGAAAGGCCGUCACUCAACGGAUAAAAGUUACUCUAAGGAUAACAGGCUGAUCUCCCCCAAGAGUUCACAUCGACGGGGAGGUUUGGCACCUCGAUGUCGGCUCAUCGCAUCCUGGGGCGGUAGCACGUCCCAAGGGUUGGGCUGUUCGCCCAUGAAAGCGGUACGCGAGCUGGGUUCAGAACGUCGUGAGACAGUUCGGUCCAUAUCCGGUGUAGGCGUUAGAAUAUUGAGAGGAGCCUUCUUUAGUACGAGAGGACCGAGAAGGACAUACCUCUGGUGUACCAGUUAUCGUGCCAACGGUAAACGCUGGGUAGCUAUGUAUGGAGUGGAUAACCGCUGAAAGCAUCUAAGUGGGAAGCCCACCUCAAGAUAAGUAUUCUCAC
rnacentral:rRNA from 1 species